rnacentral:rRNA from 1 species
UACGAGGGGGGCAAGCGUUGUUCGGAAUUAUUGGGCGUAAAGGGCGCGUAGGCGGCUCAUACAGUCAGGCGUGAAAUUCCUGGGCUCAACCUGGGGACUGCGCUUGAGACGUGUGGGCUUGAGUGGGGAAGAGGGUCGUGGAAUUCCCAGUGUAGAGGUGAAAUUCGUAGAUAUUGGGAAGAACACCGGUGGCGAAGGCGGCGACCUGGUCCUUGACUGACGCUGAGGUGCGAAAGCGUGGGGAGCAAACAGG